rnacentral:sRNA from 1 species
UUAAUCAACUAUACAACAACUACUCACC